rnacentral:rRNA from 1 species
UACGUAGGUGGCAAGCGUUGUCCGGAUUUACUGGGCGUAAAGAGCGCGCAGGCGGUCGUUCAAGUCGCGUGUGAAAGCCCCCGGCUCAACUGGGGAGGGUCACGCGAUACUGAUCGACUCGAAGGCAGGAGAGGGAAGUGGAAUUCCCGGUGUAGUGGUGAAAUGCGUAGAGAUCGGGAGGAACACCUGUGGCGAAGGCGGCCCCCUGGGCCGGCCCUGACACUGAGACGCGAAGGCGUGGGGAGCGAACGGG